AUGGUCUCAGGCCUUUGCACGGUGGCCCUGGAAUCUAGAAUACAAUCUACAUCUAAAUUAAAAUACUUAAUGUAAAACAGCAUUUGGAAAAUAAAGCCCUGCUAGGAACUGCCCCGACUAUUCCAGAUGAAAGUCUUUAUGGAUUACGGGAUAAUGGUGUUGAACAUUGGGUCAAACACCCCAAGAACCUCCAAGCUAGCCUCCGAAUUAGC
rnacentral:lncRNA from 1 species